GACGAACGCUGGCGGCGUGACUAAUACAUGCAAGUAGAACGCUGAAGGAGGAGCUUGCUUCUCUGGAUGAGUUGCGAACGGGUGAGUAACGCGUAGGUAACCUGCCUGGUAGCGGGGGAUAACUAUUGGAAACGAUAGCUAAUACCGCAUAAUAGUAGAUGUUGCAUGACAUUUGCCUAAAAGGUGCAAUUGCAUCACUACCAGAUGGACCUGCGUUGUAUUAGCUAGUUGGUGGGGUAACGGCUCACCAAGGCGACGAUACAUAGCCGACCUGAGAGGGUGAUCGGCCACACUGGGACUGAGACACGGCCCAGACUCCUACGGGAGGCAGCAGUAGGGAAUCUUCGGCAAUGGACGGAAGUCUGACCGAGCAACGCCGCGUGAGUGAAGAAGGGUGUCGGAUCGUAAAGCUCUGUUGUAAGAGAAGAACGAGUGUGAGAGUGGAAAGUUCACACUGUGACGGUAUCUUACCAGAAAGGGACGGCUAACUACGUG
rnacentral:rRNA from 1 species